ensembl:lncRNA
UGUGUGUGAGGUCACACUUGUGAGGGUAGGAUUACGUCAGAUAAAGAAGGAGCUCCUCUCUUCGUCAAAUAUGGAAAGCGGAAUCGACAGAACAGAAAUGGAAGCAAGUAUCUGCUAUUUUUAAAACGCUACAGCCGAUCAGCCAAUUUUUUUUUAAAGAUUAAAUUUAUUGCCUGUUUUUUUCAUGUUCAUUGUCAACUCUGGAACAACUACUUACAGGCAAAAAAGUAUACAGCAUAGAGUCAGUGACUGACUAUGUUCAGUAAAUCUUGUGAUCGUUGGGAGGUGAGUAAUUCCUGGAUGAAUGGCUUGACUUCCUUAUUCAGCUUUUUCUCUCAGGUAAAACCAAGCAAACGCAGGUGGCUGAAGGAAAACUAUGCACAGACUGAGCUGAUAGAGUCACUGUUUUGUCUUCACUGGUUUUUCUAACAUGCCCUUAUGUACUGAUAAGGUCAGCAGUUUUGUUAAAGGUGGAGAUCAUCACUAAGGAGGCCAAGCUUUUUCUUUUUAAAUUACUUUCCGCGGUCAGUUUUAGGCCAGACUGUUUUUUUUUUUGUUUUUUUCAUAGAAACUGUGGUUCAGAGGUCCCUGAGGAAUAAAGGAAGCCAUAAAGAUUGAGUCACAUUACUUGAGAUAGUGAGUUGCCUGCCUGUGCACAUUCCCCUUUCUUUCCCUCCUACAUGUUUGAUCACGUUGCUGUAUGUGACACACAGCCAUGACCACAUAGACAACUCCAUGGUUUAAACUUGUGGUGUAGUAGUGGUUAAAAAAAAUCCCUACUGAUAUGGAAUUAUUUUAUUUAUUAUUUUCCUGAGUAAAACAACAAUUAUUCAUUAAAUAGGGAAUCUCCUCUAACAUAUGUUUAUUGAAUCAAAAUAACAUCCCUUUAGUUUCCCAUUCACGUAUUCAGUUUCUGAUUGAUUUGGCGCAACUUAAUCAAACUCAUUCUCCAGUCCCUCUCAUAGUCCAUACGUCUCUGAGGAUUUAAGCUAUUUCUGUUUAAACAGGAAGCACUGCUAUUGGCUAAAUCCCAAUCACCUUUGACCUCCCACUUCACUCAAAAGGAAUCUCGUGGUAGGGUUAUUACCAGACUCUGUGAUGUUGUGUGAACCGCUACUUUCAGCUUAAAAUAGCCGUGGAACUAGAAUGCAGUCCCAGUCAGCGUGAAGUCCCAGUGAUCCUCCAGAGGAUAAUUGGAAACAGAAGUGUAAUGUAGCAGUACUAUGUGAUGAUGAGGUCCCACAUUCCUAAAUCUGGCCACAAUAGAGUGAAUUAUAAAUUUGAAUUGGAUUUGUUUUGUUUUAUUGGCCUUUUAAAUCAAACAGGGGGCUUUAUUUCUAUUUUCUUUUUCCCUUUCCCUUUUUUUCCCUCUCUCUUAAAAAACUUGAAUGUGUGUAAAAUUUUACGCUCUAUUUUUUAUUUUUUUUACUUUCAUGUAGGCUUAUAUGAACCUUUUAAUUUUUUUCCCUCUGUAAAUAACUUUUUUCAAUUUUGAAUGGUGCUAUACAAAUAAAAAAAUUAGUAUUGUUAUUAAUUUGAUUCCCCAAUGAACUUACAAUACCUAUGCGUAUUUUAUUAAUUAUUUAUGUUUCAUGAAUCGGAUCAAAUCUCAGACAAAAUACAGACACCAGACAGACAGGGGGCUUAAAUAAACAAGCAUGUAUUUUAUUAAAUUAAGCUCGUAGACAUGUGGAAUUGCUGUCAGUAGAAAGCAGGUAUAUGAUGAAUGUAUCUGAAGGAAA